UACGUAGGUGGCAAGCGUUGUCCGGAUUUAUUGGGUUUAAAGGGUGCGUAGGCGGUUUUUUAAGUCAGUGGUGAAAUACGUCAGCUUAACUGGCGAGGUGCCAUUGAUACUGGGGAACUUGAGUACUGAUGAGGUAGGCGGAAUGGACGGUGUAGCGGUGAAAUGCUUAGAUAUCGUCCAGAACACCGAUAGCGAAGGCAGCUUACUAAAGAGUAACUGACGCUGAGGCACGAAAGUGUGGGGGAUCAAAACAGG
rnacentral:rRNA from 1 species